UACAGGGGGGGCAAGCGUUGUUCGGAAUUACUGGGCGUAAAGGACCAGUAGGCGGCCAACUAAGUCCGACGUGAAAUCCCCAGGCUUAACCUGGGAACUGCGUCGGAUACUGGAUGGCUUGAAUUCGGGAGAGGGAUGCAGAAUUCCAGGUGUAGCGGUGAAAUGCGUAGAUAUCUGGAGGAAUACCGGUGGCGAAGGCGGCAUCCUGGACCGGCAUUGACGCUGAUACGCGAAAGCGUGGGGAGCAAACAGG
rnacentral:rRNA from 1 species